GGGAUACAGGGAUGGGAUACAGGGAUGGGAUACAGGGAUGGGAUACAGGGAUGGGAUACAGGGAUGGGAUACAGGGAUGGGAUACAGGGAUGGGAUACAGGGAUGGGAUACAGGGAUGGGAUACAGGGAUGGGAUACAGGGAUGGGAUACAGGGAUGGGAUACAGGGAUGGGAUACAGGGAUGGGAUACAGGGAUGGGAUACAGGGAUGGGAUACAGGGAUGGGAUACAGGGAUGGGAUAUGGCACUUCCAGCAUCCAGGGUGCAGAGCCUCCUGAGCCCUGCCCUGUCCCAGCCCAGACUGGGAGCACUGGGAACUGUCCCAGCCCAGACUGGGAGCACUGGGAGUGGUCCCAGCCUAGACUGGGGGCACUGGGAGUGGUCCUAGCCCAGACUGGGAGCACUGGGAACUGUCCCAGCACAGACUGGGAGCACUGGGAGUGGUCCCAGCACAGACUGGGAGCACUGGGAGCGGUCCCGGCGCAGACUGGGAGCACUGGGAGCAGUCCUAGCCCGGACUGGGAGCACUGGGAGCGGUCCCGGCGCAGACUGGGGGCACUGGGAGCAGUCCUAGCCCGGACUGGGGGCACUGGGAGCGGUCCCGGCGCAGACUGGGAGCACUGGGAGCGGUCCCGGCGCAGACUGGGGGCACUGGGAGCGGUCCCGGCGCAGACUGGGAGCACUGGGAGCAGUCCCGGCGCAGACUGGGAGCACUGGGGUGCCGCUGGUGUCCGUGUGUCCGCGGGGCUGUUCCCGGGCCGGGGCCGGGCUGGGGUUCCUUUCCUUGUUGUCGCGCUGUUCUUUUGGGGUUCAGGUUUUCCCGCGGGGAGGGGGGUGCGGGUCUGUUCCGGGGUCAUGGACAAGGGGAGGGCCUCGAUUAGGACCAAAUUUCCGUGCCUGUUGCUCUGGUGAUUGAUUUAGAAAUCCAAAGUUGACCGUCUGGUGGCCCAUCCUUGUCGCGCUCGAGGUCGGACUGUACAGGAGAUAUUAUCAAUAAUAUACCGAUACCGUCCCUGGCGCGGCCUCGCCCCCGGGAUGGCGGCGGCACAAUAAAGGAACGAGCAUCAACCACCGGCGGCGUCCUGCGGCCCGGGACACCGGGAAACCACCGGAACCCUGCCCCGGGUCCGGGGCGUGGAGCGGGGACACGCACGGCACGGCACGGGGAGGGGACAGGGACACCGGGAAGGGGACAGGGACACGGGGGGGGACAGGGAGGGGGGGGGGGGGGGGGGGGGGGGGGGGGGGGGGGGGGGGGGGGGGGGGGGGGGGGGGGGGGGGGGGGGGG
rnacentral:lncRNA from 12 species